UACGAAGGGGGCUAGCGUUGCUCGGAAUCACUGGGCGUAAAGCGCACGUAGGCGGAUUGCUAAGUCGGGGGUGAAAUCCUGGAGCUCAACUCCAGAACUGCCUUUGAUACUGGCGAUCUUGAGUCCGGGAGAGGUGAGUGGAACUGCGAGUGUAGAGGUGAAAUUCGUAGAUAUUCGCAAGAACACCAGUGGCGAAGGCGGCUCACUGGCCCGGUACUGACGCUGAGGUGCGAAAGCGUGGGGAGCAAACAGGG
rnacentral:rRNA from 1 species